rnacentral:snoRNA from 14 species
CCAGCAUGGUCAUCCAUUGAAGUUACUCAUGGCUCUAGCCAAGUGGCAUAUGGGAGCAUAGCCCUUAGUGCAGCGAUGUACCAUCCCCUUCCACAAUUGGCAGAGCAAGCCUGUCCCUGGUUCUAGAGCUGAUGGGGAUAGAAUCCUGUAUAUUCCUAUAAUUUUUCAUUGUCUUUAGACGUUUACUGAAAAGAGAAACCAUGCAGGGGGCAAUU